GGAGGCAGCAGUGGGGAAUAUUGCACAAUGGGCGCAAGCCUGAUGCAGCGACGCCGCGUGAGGGAUGACGGCCUUCGGGUUGUAACCUCUUUCAGUAGGGAAGAAGCGAAAGUGACGGUACCUGCAGAAGAAGCACCGGCUAACUACGUGCCAGCAGCCGCGGUAAUACGUAGGGUGCGAGCGUUAUCCGGAAUUAUUGGGCGUAAAGAGCUCGUAGGCGGUUUGUCGCGUCUGUCGUGAAAGUCCGGGGCUUAACCCCGGAUCUGCGGUGGGUACGGGCAGACUAGAGUGCAGUAGGGGAGACUGGAAUUCCUGGUGUAGCGGUGGAAUGCGCAGAUAUCAGGAGGAACACCGAUGGCGAAGGCAGGUCUCUGGGCUGUAACUGACGCUGAGGAGCGAAAGCAUGGGGAGCGAACAGGAUUAGAUACCCUGGUAGUCCAUGCCGUAAACGUUGGGCACUAGGUGUGGGGACCAUUCCACGGUUUCCGCGCCGCAGCUAACGCAUUAAGUGCCCCGCCUGGGGAGUACGGCCGCAAGGCUAAAACUCAAAGGAAUUGACGGGGGCCCGCACAAGCGGCGGAGCAUGCGGAUUAAUUCGAUGCAACGCGAAGAACCUUACCAAGGCUUGACAUGUUCUCGAUCGCCGUAGAGAUACGGUUUCCCCUUUGGGGCGGGUUCACAGGUGGUGCAUGGUUGUCGUCAGCUCGUGUCGUGAGAUGUUGGGUUAAGUCCCGCAACGAGCGCAACCCUCGUUCCAUGUUGCCAGCACGUAAUGGUGGGGACUCAUGGGAGACUGCCGGGGUCAACUCGGAGGAAGGUGAGGACGACGUCAAAUCAUCAUGCCCCUUAUGUCUUGGGCUUCACGCAUGCUACAAUGGCCGGUACAAUGGGUUGCGAUACUGUGAGGUGGAGCUAAUCCCAAAAAGCCGGUCUCAGUUCGGAUUGGGGUCUGCAACUCGACCCCAUGAAGUCGGAGUCGCUAGUAAUCGCAGAUCAGCAACGCUGCGGUGAAUACGUUCCCGGGCCUUGUACACACCGCCCGUCAAGUCACGAAAGUUGGUAACACCCGAAGCCGGUGGCCUAACCCUUGUGGGGGAGCCGUCGAAG
rnacentral:rRNA from 1 species